rnacentral:sRNA from 1 species
AGAUUCAGCUGUGAGCUAUGUACAGAGUGGCCAGGAUGAAGAGAAACAGCAAGGAGCCUGGUACAGGGAUGGGCCCCAGAACACCCAGAACCUAACAAAUGGAUUUCCUUGCAGAAAGGAUUGCUGAACUUGGUGACAGGUAUAGACAGGAUUAGAUCCACACUCCA